CCCGAGUUCAAAUCCCAGCAGAUUUCUGGCUCCAGGAAUCUAUACUCUCAAACCACAGGCUCUGGUUUCUCUGCACGGCACGAACCGGGCUCUUCCAAAGCCAGCAGGGCUGAGUUCCAGAGGGAGAAAUCAAUCCUCCGCGGUCCUGUUCCCAACUCCACCACAUCACAAACCACCUACAAACUUGGGACUUCCAAGUUCUAGUCUGCAACGCUAAGAAAUCGGACGACUGCAUCUAAAUUACGUGAACCUUUCCCAGGAGACCCAAAGAUGCCCUGUAAAACCACUCUGGGAAAAACAAACACAAUAACAACAACAACAAAAUAAAAACAGCAACAAAACAACCAAUGGCAAAACAACAAUGGCAGCUAUUGACUUUUUCAAGAAUUAAAUUUGAUCCAAGUUUAUGGCGUGCUCCAGGUUCCCCCACGUUUUACCAUUUGAGAAAAGAGUCUGUAUGUGACCCAGACCUUGAACAUAAUCCCCUGACAGGUAGAUGGGGGCGGGGAAAGAUGGAGAGGAGCCGAGAGAGAGAAUAACCAAGACACACUUGGACGAAGGAAACAGGGCUUAUCUGGAGAUUUUACAGUACCAGAUGCUGCAAAGAGAAAAAGCAAAUAACUGCAUGAAUGCACUGUCUGGAAUAGCCAACAGACCUGCCUUCAAGUUCCUGGCUCAUCUCGCAGUGAUGGAUUGCAAGCCGGAAUUGUCAACCAAAUAAACCUUUCUCCCGGAUAUUGCUUUUUGUUACACUAUUUCAUCAACUGUGGCGUAGAAAAGUAUUUCAGACUCUCCCUAGAUGAUAAAACUGUGAAGCAGAAUUUGUUAAAAUAAAUAAUAGUAAAGAGCAUUGAAUCUGUGUAACUGCGUUGUUCACUCCUCAAUGGCCAGCUGCCCCGUGAACGUGGUGAAUAACUCUAGAACAAACCAGCAGCUGGACAAGGAGGGAGCAUAGUAUGAUGCUUGCAGGCACCUUUAUCUACAUCAGAGAGAAAAAAAAGUCUCCAAACCUUGAUCAUGAUCAUCAUGUCCACCAAUUCACCUGUCACAGGCUGUGAGGACAUGCUGUGAGUGGCUGGCCAGAACUGUAAAUCUUCAAAGACCUGAGAGCUGUCCAGACUCAUCUACAGAGAAUGCCCGUUCAUUCUCAGGCUACAAACUUGAAGGUUAUCAUAAUCCCUGGACCAUUCCAGCUGUGAACAUAGUGGAACAUGCCUAUUACUGAACAAAUCAGUCUCGUUUGCUGCUUGGGGCUAGAGAAUUUUGAGAGAGCUGGUUUUACAAAGCUUCCCCCAGAAAAUGCAGUCCACGUGACAAACUCCAGCCCUGAGUGAUUCAUUCCUCAGGGGCUUACCACACUAGAAGGGUUCCUGAUGCUUUCCAGGGUGUACCACAAGCCUUACUUUCAGAGAUUCGUUAGAUCAUAGCCACUCUAGUCGCACACACAAUAUUGCUUUUCUUCAACAUCAAGGUAAUGCAGUCUUAUACUACACACUGUGAGGGAUUCUUAGUAUUAAGAAACUGUCCCAGGGGCAGGAGAGAUAGCUCAGAGGUAAAGAGCACUGGCUGCUCUUCCAGAGGACCUGAGUUCAAUUCCCAGCAACCACAUGGUGGUUCACAACCAUCUACAGUGAGAUCUGGUGUCCUCUUCUGGCAUGCAGGCAGAACACUGACU
ensembl:lncRNA